rnacentral:rRNA from 1 species
GACGAACGCUGGCGGCGUGCUUAACACAUGCAAGUCGAACGGAAAGGCCCUGCUUUUGUGGGGUGCUCGAGUGGCGAACGGGUGAGUAACACGUGAGUAACCUGCCCUUGACUUUGGGAUAACUUCAGGAAACUGGGGCUAAUACCGGAUAGGAGCUCCUGCUGCAUGGUGGGGGUGGGACAGUUUCGGCGGUUGGGGAUGGACUCGCGGCUUAUCAGCUUGUUGGUGGGGUAGUGGCUUACCAAGGCUUUGACGGGUAGCCGGCCUGAGAGGGUGACCGGCCACAUUGGGACUGAGAUACGGCCCAGACUCCUACGGGAGGCAGCAGUGGGGAAUAUUGCACAAUGGGCGGAAGCCUGAUGCAGCAACGCCGCGUGCGGGAUGACGGCCUUCGGGUUGUAAACCGCUUUCGCCUGUGACGAAGCGUGAGUGACGGUAAUGGGUAAAGAAGCACCGGCUAACUACGUG